GUCGUGACAAAUUGCUCAACGAACCUGUUUCAAAGAUGUACACGAUUAUGUAAAUGACUUUUGAUAGAAUAUUAUUGCACACAUUGUCGAUCGUUAGAUCCGUAGAAAAGUGUUUCAAUUGGUGCUGCUUGUUACUCGAACGAGUCGAUUGUAGUUUGAGCAUACAUGUGCAUGAAAAGGAACAAUGUUGCUCGUGAGAAGUAUUUAUCGUAAUAUGCAUAUAAUAAUUAACGCGAUCAACGUAUUUAUCAUAUCGUUAUAUUGUUCAACAUUUGUAUGCUCUCGAUUCUGCGCGAUCGAUAACUUAAUAAGUAAAAUGAUAAUUCUACGAAAACGUAAAACAGUAAUGUAAGAAUCAGAUUUAUAUAGAUGUUGUCAUUGUAAUUUUGUAUUAUUAACGCUAAUUUUACGUCUAUCGAUCAUCGUGUUUGUUAUCGAUAUCCAACAAUUGAAUUUCAUUCGUUUCAUUUUUAUUCGCUUGAAAUUGGUUGCGAUUGUAAUAACGGCGAUUGUGUCGCCGCCUGUCAUUCGAGUUGCACAUUUCGCGUUGUAUUUGCACGAGAUAAAUCACUUAUCAGAUGUUAUAUAGUGAAAAAAGGACUAUUUGUGCGUGGUAUCGCGAUCGCUCACGUACUCGAGAUUACAAAUGAUGAUGAGACAGAUUCAAAACAUCAUUUUCGUACGUACUCUAUGUAUAAGUGUGUACUUUGUUACGUAUGAUGAAUUGUACCUGACGGUCACACGUUUUGUUGAUUUUCCGUUUAUCAAUAAAUUAUCGUAUUAUCGGUUACCAUGUCUCGUAUAAAGCUUAGAUUCCAUAAGGUUGCGAAUUGAUCGAACUUUGCAAAAUCGAUCCGUAAUCCGAAAAUAUGUCACGUAAUCGAUGCAUCGGUAAUUUUCUUAUCGAACAACAGCAUUGAAUUGGAUCGAGGAAGAAACGGCAAUCGAUUACACGCCCAUUGGAUAAUUUAUAGCGAGUAAAGGCUUUCGGGAAUAUUCGUUUGGAACUCAAAGCUGCCGAAACGGCCUCAUUGCACCACUGUGGAAACUAGAAACCAGCCGUAAAAACUAACCCAAUAUCGGUGUCUCCGUACCUCUCUCCGUGCCUCUUCCGAGUCCUCUUUGGCCUUGCUUCGAUUCCGGUACCUGGAACCCACGCAUAUAGCUUUCCGCUAUCGAUGCGUCCGGAAUUAUCAAGAAGACUAUAAAAAAGUUUAAUUUCAUUCUAAAUCAAAAAAUAAAGAGGAAGAUGAGAAACCGAUGCUGGGAAAUUGAACAUCGUCUUAAAAAUUUAAA